GGAAGAAAUGCAGUGUAUGGAUGUUUCUACCUGUUGUAUUUACUUUGUUUACCUCAGCUGGAUUAUGGAUCGUGUACUUUAUAGCUGUGGAAGAUGACAAAAUUCUGCCAUUAAAUUCAGCUGAAAGGAAGCCCGGGGUGAAGCAUGCUCCAUACAUAAGUAUUGCAGGUGAUGAUCCUCCUGCAAGCUGUGUGUUUAGUCAAGUCAUGAACAUGGCUGCAUUCCUA